rnacentral:rRNA from 1 species
AUAUUUAAGUUGUUGCAGUUAAAAAGCUCGUAGUUGGAUUUUGGUUAAGAGGGCGCGGUCGGCCGUUUGAUCUGUACUGCGUUGUCUUGACUUCCUGAUGAGGACAUGCUCUUGGUUAACGCUGAGACAUGGAGUCAUCGUGGUUACUUUGAAAAAAUUAGAGUGUUCAAAGCGGGCUUACGCUUGAAUAUAUUAGCAUGGAAUAACACUAUAGGACUCCUGUCCUAUCUCGUUGGUCUCGGGAUGGGAGUAAUGAUUAAGAGGAACAGUUGGGGGCAUUCGUAUUUCAUUGUCAGAGGUGAAAUUCUUGGAUUUAUGAAAGACGAACUUCUGCGAAAGCAUUUGCCAAGGAUGUUUUCAUUAAUCAAGAACGAAAGUUGGGGGCUCGAAGAUGAUUAGAUACCAUCCUAGUCUCAACCAUAAACGAUGCCGACUAGGGAUUGGUGGAUGUUAAUUGAUGACUUCACCAGCACCUUAUGAGAAAUCAAAGUUUUUGGGUUCCGGGGGGAGUAUGGUCGCAAGGCUGAAACUUAAAGGAAUUGACGGAAGGGCACCACCAGGCGUGGAGCCUGCGGCUUAAUUUGACUCAACACGGGGAAACUUACCAGGUCCAGACAUAAGUAUGAUUGACAGAUUGAGAGCUCUUUCUUGAUUCUAUGGGUGGUGGUGCAUGGCCGUUCUU